CAUUUUUCACAUAUGCCACGACGUUCAACUCGUAAGACUCUGAGACUUUGCCGAAGAAAGUAUCUCUCUAUCUCUCAUAAGCCAAAAAAUGUUACUCCUUUCCUCCGACGCUCGAGCAGCUCAAAAUUUGCUCACUCUGACCACUCUACACAUACACACACAUACACAUACACACAUACACUACACUACACAUUCAAUCUAGUAUGGCUACACAACAUAAAAGCGUUCGAAGUAAAUAUCAUUUUUGUCUGAACCCGUGGCUUUGGUGCUAGAGCUCUCGACUCAUAAUCGAGAGGUCCCGUGUUCAAAUCCGCGGCUUCGCCUCGUUCGA